UCUCAUUUUGUAGUGCAUGUUUUAUAAUAUGUCUGACCAACUUUUGUGUUUUUCUUAUUAGGGAUAAUUUUGGAUGAUAUUCUCCCUUUCUUUGAUGGGGACUGUCGAGAAGCGAAAGUCAUGGACAUUCAUGUUGAAAUUGGUGGCUCUGAUUCCGAUUAUUUUGUCUUGGGCAUUCUUACUCAUUGUCAAAAUGAUGGCUCUUACUUGUACCUCUUAACACCAAUAUUAUCACCUCCUUCUACAAAUUGUGUAUACAGUUGACUAUCCUGUGAUGACAAAGGUUACUUAGAACUAGUAAAUUUUUUUUUUUUUUUUAAUUUAUCUGUUAAAGACUUUAAUUAAAUGUAUUCACUUCCUAUUAUUUAUUCUUCAAAAUUUCCAAUAUGUUUCCUUUUGGUUUUGGAUUUUCAGGUGCUUCUUAUGGGAACAAUGUAGCAUUAGUGAAGCCAUAACUUUUGAAAUGAAGUAUUGUUUAUGUGAUUUAUAUGAUUUCUAAACUAUCUACUGUGUUUCAUAUGUCCCCUGUAAACUGAGCAAACAACCUCCUAACAUCACUCAAAACUCCAAAUAUUCAGUUGCUGUUCAAAUUUUCAUCAAAGUAGGAGCAAAUUAUUGUACCACUCCCCACCCCCGGGGCCAAAAAAAAAAAAAGAAAAAAGAAAAAAGAAGAAGAAGAAGAUACAACCAAAGCUCUCUUCACUCUUCAACUUUUUCUCCUUCUCAGGUUCAUUAAUUUGCUGUUAAUUCAAUGAUAAUUAUAAAUGGUAAGGCGCUUUCUAAAGUUUCCGUGAGAUUAGGGGUUUGCUUGCUCAGUUCUAAACUUUAGGAAGAUAUUGUAACUUUAGGGUGAAUGUUUGCAAGCUACCCAUUUUAUUUUGUGGGAAGAAUAACAUUUGCAUUUGCAAAUGAGAAACUUCUUAUCUAUUCUAUGACACUUUGCUGGUUUAGCUAAAAGUUUGAUUAGUUCACAAAGUUCUUUGCUUGAUCAUUGCGAGAAGACACAAAGCUCUUUCCCUGAUGAUUCCAACAAUGAUAUGCCUGAAUCUAGUUCUGGAUCUCAUGUAAAGCCUAUUUUGGAGCAUUUGUAUCAUGAAAACCCUAGAAACCCCCAGAAACCUUAAUGCAAAAAGGAGUGCAUUUGGUGAUGGGGUGACAUCAAUAAUCCAAGGUGGAGGAGGUAUUGCAAAAUAAAUAUCAUGCAUUGAUUCCUCACAAGACAUGUCUCAGAUUUCAAGACCUCAUGGGAAAUCAAAACCUACUCCACUUAGUUGGUGGUGGACAACAAUUGACAUAAAUCUAGAGGAGAUCUCAGACCUGAUCCUCCAUUUGAUGCUAUCAAUGUCAUAGCUCUCGGCCUCUUGUGUUAUUCAGAAUGUUACAGAUUCCAUUCCUGAAGUUUAUAUGCUUUUGCGUAGUAAAACUGAAGCUUUUAAGAGGACUCUAGAUGGAAUAUUUGGUUGCAAGAUGUUGGUUUUCUCUAAGAGAAAAGGCUUCAGUUUCCACUUUUGAGGGAAACUUGGGAUUAUGUGACUCUCCGAUGUCAAAAAAAUGUGGAAAUAUUGAGCCACCAACUUAUAAAACAAGGCAAGAAUCAUUAAUAGUAGAAGGAUUUGAUUGGGAAGUGGUUGUAAUAGGAUAUGCUUGUGGAUUGAUAAUUGGACUAGUUAUUGGGUAUUUCGCCACCUCAAGAAGGACAAAUUGGUUUGUGAGAAAUUUGGAGUGCACUUAUGCAGGUGAUGAUGAGGACAAG